rnacentral:rRNA from 1 species
AGUGACUAGGUCGUUUGGAGGGGUCUUCCAGCGUUCAGUGCGCAGCUAACGCAUUAAGCAGUCCGCCUGGGGAGUACGGUCGCAAGGCUGAAACUCAAAUGAAUUGACGGGGACCCGCACAAGCGGUGGAGCAUGUGGUUUAAUUCGAAGCAACGCGAAGAACCUUACCAACUCUUGACAUCCACAUGACCGGUACAGAGAUGUACCUUGCCUUUCGGAGGCAGGGCUCACAGGUGGCGCAUGGUUGUUCUCAGCUCGUGUCGUGAGAUGUUGGUUUAAGUCGCGCAACGAGCGCAACCCUUCUCUUUAGUUCCCAGCAUUAAGUUGGGCACUCUAGGGAGACUGCCGGUGACAAACCGGAGGAAGGUGGGGAUGACGUCAAAUCAUCAUGCCCCUUAUGAGUUGGGCUACACACGUGCUACAAUGGACGGUACAAAGGGCAGCGAAGCCGCGAGGUGGAGCCAAUCCCAGAAAGCCGUUCUCAGUUCGGAUUGCAGGCUGCAACUCGCCUGCAUGAAGUCGGAAUCGCUAGUAAUCGCAGGUCAGCAUAUUGCGGUGAAUACGUUCCCGGGUCUUGUACACACCGCCCGUCACACCCCGAGAGUUUGCAACACCCGAAGUCGCUAAGGUAACCGUAAGGAGCCAGCCGC